GGAACGAGUUAUCUGAACCUUCGGGGAACGAUAACGGCGUCGAGCGGCGGACGGGUGAGUAAUGCCUAGGAAAUUGCCCUGAUGUGGGGGAUAACCAUUGGAAACGAUGGCUAAUACCGCAUGAUGCCUACGGGCCAAAGAGGGGGACCUUCGGGCCUCUCGCGUCAGGAUAUGCCUAGGUGGGAUUAGCUAGUUGGUGAGGUAAGGGCUCACCAAGGCGACGAUCCCUAGCUGGUCUGAGAGGAUGAUCAGCCACACUGGAACUGAGACACGGUCCAGACUCCUACGGGAGGCAGCAGUGGGGAAUAUUGCACAAUGGGCGCAAGCCUGAUGCAGCCAUGCCGCGUGUGUGAAGAAGGCCUUCGGGUUGUAAAGCACUUUCAGUCGUGAGGAAGGUAGUGUAGUUAAUAGCUGCAUUAUUUGACGUUAGCGACAGAAGAAGCACCGGCUAACUCCGUGCCAGCAGCCGCGGUAAUACGGAGGGUGCGAGCGUUAAUCGGAAUUACUGGGCGUAAAGCGCAUGCAGGUGGUUUGUUAAGUCAGAUGUGAAAGCCCGGGGCUCAACCUCGGAAUAGCAUUUGAAACUGGCAGACUAGAGUACUGUAGAGGGGGGUAGAAUUUCAGGUGUAGCGGUGAAAUGCGUAGAGAUCUGAAGGAAUACCGGUGGCGAAGGCGGCCCCCUGGACAGAUACUGACACUCAGAUGCGAAAGCGUGGGGAGCAAACAGGAUUAGAUACCCUGGUAGUCCACGCCGUAAACGAUGUCUACUUGGAGGUUGUGGCCUUGAGCCGUGGCUUUCGGAGCUAACGCGUUAAGUAGACCGCCUGGGGAGUACGGUCGCAAGAUUAAAACUCAAAUGAAUUGACGGGGGCCCGCACAAGCGGUGGAGCAUGUGGUUUAAUUCGAUGCAACGCGAAGAACCUUACCUACUCUUGACAUCCAGAGAACUUUCCAGAGAUGGAUUGGUGCCUUCGGGAACUCUGAGACAGGUGCUGCAUGGCUGUCGUCAGCUCGUGUUGUGAAAUGUUGGGUUAAGUCCC
rnacentral:rRNA from 1 species